rnacentral:rRNA from 1 species
GGGUUUAAAAGUUAGUGCGCAGGCGGUUCUGUAAGUCAGAUGUGAAAAGUCCCCGGGCUUAACCUGGGAACUGCGUUUGAAAACUGCAGAGCUAGAGUGCGGCAGAGGGGAGGGUGGAAUUCCAUGUGUAGCAGUGAAAAUGCGUAGAGAUAUGGAAGAACAUCGAUGGCGAAGGCAACCUCCUGGGCUAGCACUGACGCUCAUGCACGAAAGCGUGGGGAGCAAACAGGAUUAGAUACCCUGGUAGUCCACGCCCUAAACUAUGUCAACUAGUUGUCGGGUCUUAAUAGACUUGGUAACGUAGCUAACGCGUGAAGUUGACCGCCCGGGGAGUACGGUCGCAAGAUUAAAACU